AUACGUAGGGAGCGAGCGUUGUCCGGAAUUACUGGGCGUAAAGGGCGCGUAGGCGGCGCUUCAAGUCGUCUGUCAAAUGGGAGGGCUUAACCCUUUUUCGCAGACGAAACUGGAGAGCUUGAGAAGCAGAGAGGCAAACAGAAUUCCUGGUGUAGCGGUGAAAUGCGUAGAUAUCAGGAAGAAUACCAGUGGCGAAGGCGGUUUGCUGGCUGCAUACUGACGCUGAAGCGCGAAAGCCAGGGGAGCAAACGGGAUUAGAUACCCCGGUAGUCCUAGCAGUAAACGAUGUAUGCUGGGUGUGAGACUAGCGAUAGUUUCGUGCCGAAGUUAACGCGAUAAGCAUACCGCCUGGGGAGUACGGUCGCAAGAUUGAAACUCAAAUGAAUUGGCGGGG
rnacentral:rRNA from 1 species